rnacentral:rRNA from 1 species
GUUUGAUCAUGGCUCAGGACGAACGCUGGCGGCGUGCCUAACACAUGCAAGUCGAGCGGGGUCAAAGUUCAACACUGAGUAUUUGGGCAAACGUUGGUUUUGUGACCAGCGUUAUGCAGAAACUACAUUAGAAUAUUAAAUAAAGUUUCUGCAUCAUGCUAUUUAGUGAAUAACCCAAGCCCAAGUAUUGAGUGUUGAACUUUGACCUAGCGGCGGACGGGUGAGUAACGCGUGAGCAACCUACCUUGCACAGGGGGAUAACACCCGGAAACGGGUGCUAAUACCGCAUAAGACCCCACUAUCGCAUGAUAGAGAGGUCAAAGGGCAUAACCGGUGCAAGAUGGGCUCGCGUCCCAUUAGCUAGUUGGUGAGGUAACGGCUCACCAAGGCGACGAUGGGUAGCCGACCUGAGAGGGUGAUCGGCCACACUGGGACUGAGACACGGCCCAGACUCCUACGGGAGGCAGCAGUGGGGAAUAUUGCGCAAUGGGGGGAACCCUGACGCAGCGACGCCGCGUGAGUGAAGAAGGUCUUCGGAUCGUA